CAAAGUUUUUGAUUUCUCUCAAAACAUAUAUUUCUUUUCAUGUUGAACAGAUAAUAUCUUUAAUUUGAGUCAAAGUGAUUUGCACUUGAACACGCCCACCAGAAAUAGACCGGGACCCAUUUUUAUUCUGCAUGGCUGCUGGAAACAUCGUGUCACAUCUUUGAUUAAUUUCAUCUGAAAAUAAACAACCACAGAUCGCUCCAUCCAUUCCAUGGCUGAAGCAUACAUUUUCAUUUAAUCUGAACAGAUAUCCCAGAAAGAUGAAGCUGAGGAAGAGCUGCAGAGUACCACCAUG